UACGGGGGGGCAAGCGGUUGUUCGGAAUUACUGGGCGUAAAGGGCUCGUAGGCGGCCAACUAAGUCGGAUGUGAAAUCCCCAGGCUUAACCUGGGAACUGCAUCCGAUACUGGAUGGCUUGAAUCCGGGAGAGGGAUGCAGAAUUCCAGGUGUAGCGGUGAAAUGCGUAGAUAUCUGGAGGAAUACCGGUGGCGAAGGCGGCAUCCUGGACCGGCAUUGACGCUGAUGAGCGAAAGCUAGGGGAGCAAACGGG
rnacentral:rRNA from 1 species